GACGAACGCUGGCGGCGUGCUUAACACAUGCAAGUCGAACGAAGUGGCGAACGGGUGAGUAAAACGUGGGUAACCUGCCCUCCUUUUUGGGAUAAGCCUUGGAAACGGGGACUAAUACCCAAUUUAGGGGGAUGGGCUCGCGGACUAUCAGCUUGUUGGUGGGGUGAUGGCCCACCAAGGCGGUGACGGGUAGCCGGCCGGAGAUGGUGAUCGGCCACAUUGGGACUGAGAUACCGCCCAGACUCCUACGGGGGGGAGAAGUGGGGGAUAUUGCACAAUGGGCGAAGGCCUGAUGCAGCGACUCCGAGUGGGGGAUGAAGGCUUUCGGGUUGUAAACCUCUUGCGCUAUCGAGCGGGUAGGUGGAGAAGAAGCGCCGGCUAACUCCGUGCCAGCAGCCGCGGUAAUAC
rnacentral:rRNA from 1 species